rfam:Gasterosteus aculeatus cont1.015341, whole genome shotgun sequence.
GGGCUAGUGGCGCAAUGGAUAACGCGUCUGACUACGAAUCAGGAGAUUCCAGGUUCGACUCCUGGCUAGCUCG